CAGCCGCCACGGUAAUACGAAGGGGGCUAGCGUUGUUCGGAAUUACUGGGCGUAAAGCGCACGUAGGCGGAUAUUUAAGUCAGGGGUGAAAUCCCGCAGCUCAACUGCGGAACUGCCUUUGAUACUGGGUAUCUUGAGUAUGGAAGAGGUUAGUGGAAUUGCGAGUGUAGAGGUGAAAUUCGUAGAUAUUCGCAGGAACACCAGUGGCGAAGGCGGCUAACUGGUCCAUAACUGACGCUGAGGUGCGAAAGCGUGGGGAGCAAACAGGAUUAGAUACCCGGGUAGUCCCUGUCUCUUAUAC
rnacentral:rRNA from 1 species